AAGGCUUGACAUGAACCGGAAACACCUGAAAACGAGUGCCCCCCUUGCGGUCUGUUUACCGGGGGUGCAUGGUUGUCCUCCGCUCCUGGCCUGGGAUGUUGGGUUAAGUCCCGCAACGAGCGCAACCCUCUGUCUAUGUUGCCCGCGCGUAAUGGGGGGGACUCCUAGGAAAAUGGCGGGGUCAACUCCGAAGAAGGGGGGGACUACCUCCAAUCAUCAUGGCCCUUAUGUCUUGGGCUUCACGCAUGCUACAAUGGCCGGUACAAAGGGUUGCGAUACUGUGAGGGGGAACUAAUCCCCAAAAGCCGGACUCAAUUCGGAUUGGGGUCUGCAACUCCACCCCCUGAAAUCCGAAUCCCUAGUAAUCCCAGAUCAACAACGCUGCGGUGAAUACGUUCC
rnacentral:rRNA from 1 species